rnacentral:lncRNA from 10 species
CAGUAAUGACCAGACACAUCACACCCGCCUUCUAGAAGCCCUCCCUCACAAACCGGAUCAACUGCUAUGAUAAAGGUAAGACAAGGAACAGUGUUGAGGAAGGCAGGAAUAAACAACUACAGCAGGGUGGUCAGAGAAGGCUACACAGAGUUGAUUGCACUGGACAUCAGAGGUUGAGGAAGAAUGUUCUUGGAAGAAAAGGAUGGCAAUGUGCCAACUAGAAAAGCCACACUUGACCGGGCAUGGUGGCUCAAGCCUGUAAUCCCAGCACUUUGGGAGGCCAAGGUGGGCGAAUCACAAGCUAAGAGGCAACAUACAUGGCUGGACAGUGAGAUUGUGUUAAUGUGGAUUAUUCCUCCACAAAUAUGCAUUCUUCUCCUCUCCAUUGUGAAUAGAGUUUUGGUUUCCUUCUUUUCAUGAUUCACCAUUAGAAGAACCCACCCAGGUAAUCACUGCUUGCUCGGAUCCCAGCAAAUUCUAGAUCCCAGAACUAGUGCUCUUAGAGCCAAGGCCAGCCGAUCCAAGUCUGGACUACUGCUCAGAUGAGCCGAGCCUGAAUUUGGGAGUGGUUGUUACAGAGCAUUACCCUGGCAAUAACUGACUGAUGCAGAGAUGUAAAUAGACAUCACUGGUGGAGCCCCCAGGAAAGCUCUUUAACAGAAGACAGACUCAGCUGGCAGGUUUCCCGUCUCCUUGAAUGAAGACAGGCUCAAUGCUUGGAGGGGUGAGAGGAGGCAGCCAUCUUACAACCACAGGUCACAGGAAGACACUAAA